GAGAGAUCGGGCGUUCCCUCGGGGGACAGGGAGACGAGGUGGUGCAUGGUUGUCGUCAGCUCGUGUCGUGAGAUGUUGGGUUAAGUCCCGCAACGAGCGCAACCCCUACGUUUAGUUGCUAACGCGUGAAGGCGAGCACUCUAGACGAACUGCCGUUGACAAAACGGAGGAAGGUGGGAUGACGUCAAAUCAUCAUGCCCCUUAUGUUCUGGGCUACACACGUGCUACAAUGGCCGGUACAGACGGACGCAAAGCCGCGAGGUGGAGCAAAUCCUAAAAAGCCGGUCUCAGUUCGGAUUGCAGGCUGCAAUUCGCCUGCAUGAAGUCGGAAUCGCUAGUAAUCGCAGGUCAGCAUACUGCGGUGAAUACGUUCCCGGGCCUU
rnacentral:rRNA from 1 species